AUUGAACGCUGGCGGCAGGCCUAACACAUGCAAGUCGAGCGGAAGCAGCGGGCUUGCUUCCGGAUUCAGCCGUGGACGGGCGAGUAAUGCCUAGGAACCUGUCUGGUAGUGCGGGAAAACGUGCGGAAACGGGCGCAAAUCCCGCUUACGCCCCGUGGGAGCAAGUGGGGGAUCCUAGGACCUCAUGAUAACUGAUGAGCUUAGGUUGGGUUAGCUUGUUGGUGGGGUAAAUGCCUAGCAAGGCGACGACCCGUAACUGGUCUGAGAGGAUGGCCAGUCACACUGGAUCUGAGACACGGCACGGACUCCAACAGGAGGCGACGGUGGAGAGUAUUAGACAAUGCACGGAGGGCUGAUCCAGCCAAGCCGCGUAUAGGAAGAAGGGCUUCGGAUUUGGGAGCUCUUUAGGUUGUAUGGAAGGACAGAAAGUUAAUCCCUUGCUGUAUUGACGUUACCGACAGAAUAAGCACCGGCUAACUUCGUG
rnacentral:rRNA from 1 species